rnacentral:rRNA from 1 species
AGUCAUAUGCUUGUCUCAAAGAUUAAGCCAUGCAUGUCUAAGUACAAACUAUAUUAAAGUGAAACCGCGAAAGGCUCAUUAAAUCAGUUAUGGUUCCUUAGAUCGUACCACACAAUUACUUGGAUAACUGUGGUAAUUCUAGAGCUAAUACAUGCAAACAGAGCUCUGACCGGAGACGGAAGGAGUGCUUUUAUUAGAUCAAAACUAAUCGGCGGCGGUAACAUUUCGGUGUUAUCCGUUCGUCGCUCAAUUAAAUGGUGAAUCUGAAUAACUUUAUGCUGAUCGCAUGGUCUUGUACCGGCGACGCAUCUUUCAAAUGUCUGCCUUAUCAACUGUCGAUGGUAGGAUCUGCGCCUACCAUGGUUGUAACGGGUAACGGGGAAUCAGGGUUCGAUUCCGGAGAGGGAGCCUGAGAAACGGCUACCACAUCCAAGGAAGGCAGCAGGCGCGCAAAUUACCCACUCCCGGCACGGGGAGGUAGUGACGAAAAAUAACGAUACGGGACUCAUCCGAGGCCCCGUAAUCGGAAUGAAUACACUUUAAAUCCUUUAAUAAGGACCAAUUGGAGGGCAAGUCUGGUGCCAGCAGCCGCGGUAAUUCCAGCUCCAAUAGCGUAUAUUAAAGUUGUUGCGGUUAAAAAGCUCGUAGUUGAAUUUGUGUCCCGCACUGUCGGUUCACCGCCCGCGGUGCUAACUGGCAUGUUUGCGGGACGUCCUGCCGGUGGAUGUAAGUGAAAUAUUAAUUUCGAUUUUUAUUUUGCUCAUCCGACUUAUAUAUCCUGUCUGAGUGCUCUUAAUUGAGUGUUGAGAUGGGCCGGCACAUUUACUUUGAACAAAUUAAAGUGCUCAAAGCAGGCUUAUUAAUGCCUGAAUAAUUAGUGCAUGGAAUAAUGGAACAGGACCUUGGUUCUAUUUUGUUGGUUUUCGGAACCCCAAGGUAAUGAUUAAUAGGGACAGAUGGGGGCAUUCGUAUUGCGACGUUAGAGGUGAAAUUCUUGGAYCGUCGCAAGACGGACUAAAGCGAAAGCAUUUGCCAAAGAUGUUUUCAUUAAUCAAGAACGAAAGUCAGAGGUUCGAAGGCGAUCAGAUACCGCCCUAGUUCUGACCAUAAACGAUGCCAGCUAGCGAUCCGCCAAAGUUCCUCCGAUGACUUGGCGGGCAGCUUUCGGGAAACCAAAGCUUUUGGGUUCCGGGGGAAGUAUGGUUGCAAAGCUGAAACUUAAAGGAAUUGACGGAAGGGCACCACAAGGAGUGGAGCCUGCGGCUUAAUUUGACUCAACACGGGAAACCUCACCAGGCCCAGACACUGGAAGGAUUGACAGAUUGAGAGCUCUUUCUUGAUUCAGUGGGUGGUGGUGCAUGGCCGUUCUUAGUUGGUGGAGCGAUUUGUCUGGUUAAUUCCGAUAACGAACGAGACUCUAGCCUACUAAAUAGACGUUACACUUACCAGUAUCUCGAAGGCUCACUACUUUCGUUUCCUUUCUACAUAUUUUUCUGGAGCAUUUCGGUGUUUCAGUUGAUAUGUGGUAGGCGGGAGUUUGUGGUUUUUACUACUGGCGUACAUAUAUAUCUUCUUAGAGGGACAGGCGGCUUCUAGCCGCACGAGAUUGAGCAAUAACAGGUCUGUGAUGCCCUUAGAUGUUCUGGGCCGCACGCGCGCUACACUGAAGGAAUCAACGUGUCUUCCCUGGUCGAAAGAUCCGGGUAACCCGCUGAACCUCCUUCGUGCUAGGGAUUGGGGUUUGCAAUUAUUCCCCAUGAACGAGGAAUUCCCAGUAAGCGCGAGUCAUAAGCUCGCGUUGAUUAAGUCCCUGCCCUUUGUACACACCGCCCGUCGCUACUACCGAUUGAAUGAUUUAGUGAGGUCUUCGGACUGAUACGCGGUGAUAUUUCGAUAUUACCGAUGUCGUUGGGAAGAUGACCAAACUUGAUUAUUUAGAGGAAGUAAAAGUCGUAACAAGG